rnacentral:lncRNA from 1 species
CGACGAUUGGACAUCCGCUAAGAAAAGUCCGGGAAAACUUAAAAACAACAUCAAUGGAGAAGUCAACAUACAUGUGACCUGCAGAAACCUCCAAAGAUUUGACAGAUGAGUCCUCACCAGACGAUGAGAAAAGAAGGAACUAUGGCGGGGUGUACGUAGGUCUACCAUCUGACAUGACCACCGUUGCAGGCAGCCAGUCCAAGUCCACAGACAAAAUACAGCCUCCAAUCGCUGUCCUUCGAUUAACCAUGGCUUUACAGUAAAAGAGACAACAUCAAGCAAAAAAGGAAAUACUGUACAUGAAAGUCCCUUGAAGACUACAUCUUUCUACCGAUGGACAGUUUUUGUUCUCCGUGUUCAAAGAAAACCCCCACGUCAUCUUCAAACAAAAACUAACAGAUAUAGAAGGGAAACAUUGACAUGCAUCACAGGACUAAAGCUACAAUAUUCAGAACAUACAGAGACAUUACAUUCCUACGUUGAGAGGAGGAUUACUGACUCAUCCUCACAACCCUGCCUCCGUAAGAGUGAAACAGACUGAAAGACCCUGGGGAAUCAGGCAGAUAUGAGGUCAGCCUGCUUGGGUCCUGAGGAAACUGCCUCAGAAUGGCACCGAGUAGACCCUCAAUAGAUGCCUUUGUCUGAGGAGUCUUUGCCCUUUCUGACCCUCACAGGAAGCCGGGCAGCAGCAGAGAAGUCGGGUGGGUACGGGACGACUGCGGAUAUUGGGACCAACAUUAUGGAAUCCGGGGAAAUGAUCUGGACUAGCUCCUUGUGUUUAGGAAGAGAUGUGACACACACAGCCCAGUCACACAGAGACACCUUCUCGACCGGCUCUGUAAACAUUUAAUCCAAGUGCAUAUAUUGUGGCUGGUGUAGAUAGAUGUUUUAUGUGGUGGGAGGGAUAGUGGACCCACACAGUGGCUCAAACACAAGCAGUGCUAUUCACUUUUAUGGAGUAUUUUAGGUCACCCAGUUUUCAUUUUCUUUUCAGUAUCAGAUACUGUAAAUAAUUUCAGAGAUUCAUGAAAACAACAUUCUAUAACCCAUUUGGAGAUUGUGUUGUGAUAUUUUCUAGUUGGUUGCUGCUAUUUCUUUUUAAACCAUUGCAUUUACUGUCUAAAUACAAAUUGACCUACUUUUGGUACCAAACGGAUGGGGGACCUCCUGUGGGUGUACUGGCUGGUACUGUAGCCUGACUGUACUGUAGCGAGCAUCUGUUGUGUGCGUCAUUCAUGUCUGAGAUUGUUAAGUGUUGUGUUGUGUUGUCAUUUAACCUGUGAAUCAUGCUAACAUGACAUCGUCAGUCUGUAUGGGGCUAAAGAUGCAUUGAGGAUACUACUCUUACAUUUCUUUACCCACAAAGGUCUGAACUGAUCUGAGAUCUGACGUCAUCAGAUUGUUAACAAUGCAUGCAUUAUUACUCCAGGUGCCAGCAGCUGAUCUCAGUGUUCCACAUACAGUAGCUCUUGUUGGCCAUUUUAGCAGCUGCAUCCAGAACUCGUUGUUUUUUACGAAGAGAUAAACUCUCCAACUGCAAUUUGUAAAAUGUUGUCUUUUCUAUUUGUAAAAUUCAAAAAUGAUUCCUUUUGAAAACGAAAUGUACAACUUUUAUUAUAACGGUUAAUUGGAAAGAUGAUCAGUCAAAAAGAAUCUGAACUACAUUGUUUAGCAUAGGUUUGCCUAAACAUAUUUGAAUCUAUAUUUCUCAUUAUGAUCAACUGUAUCAGUGAAUCUAGUUGGAAACCAUAACACAGGCAGCAUAUUCACACACCACAAUAUCUCCCCCAAAGCAUGAAUUAGAAGGGAAUAGAGAAUCCAUCCAAUGUCAUUUAUCUACAUGCAGUUCCUGUUCGUGAUUUAAUGAAUGUAUGAAUGUACAGCAUCUUCACCACCACGACCACAGAGGAACAGGGAAGUAGGCCAUGCUAACCAUAUGCUCACACACUUGAGAUUCAAGAGAUGUUUUAUUCUCUUCAAUACAUCAGUCCGAUUAUAUAUUCUCUACUCCACUCUACCUGGUUUGAGAUAAGAAUAUGGAAUAUACAUAAUAUUUAUAUGGAAUAUACAUAAUAUUUAUAUGGAAUAUAAAUGUAGAUUAUGAAUGCUCCCUGGCGUUCAACCAUCUACUCCGUAAUCUGUGCCAGGCCGCGUGUGAGGUUUAGAAAUGCGAUGGGUACCGAUUAAAGAGCACCCCACAGUUUCUGCUCUGCUACUACACGGCUACCACCGAAAAAUGAAUACAGCCCCUUUUCAUUGAUGUCUACAUUUCCUUUCUGUUGAGGCUCUUCCAGUUUCACCAUCAGAAUCCUCUGGCCUUUGGCUUUCACGGUGCACAGUGCAACGCAGUUCCCACUGGGCAAACACUAGUUGAAUCAACGUUGUUCCACGUCGUUGAAAUUAAUUGGACGUCUGUGCCCAGUGGGUCUGCCUUUUCAUCUGUUCUCUGCUCUAGCCAACUCCUCCACCCUUUACAGACAGUUGUACUGUAACACAAGGGUGAAUGUCACUGAGCUAAUCCUGCUUUAUUCAAUUAGGAAGACUGGGAGGGAAGAGGAUGAAAAAAGGGUAUUCAAAAGCCACACUGGGAAAGGAAAAGUUGCUACAGAAUAUCAACACAGGAGUUGAUAACCAAGCAUAGCUAGCUGUGUACAGAAUGAAUGUAGCUCUUAGGAGGAUGGAGAAAAGGUAUGGGAAAUUGUGUUAAAAAAGCAGCAUCCAUGGAACCCUGGUAUUUUUUACUGUAUUGGGGUUCCUUUAAGCAUUAAGGCAUGAGGGGGGGGCGGUAUAUUGGCCAUAUACCACAGUUACCUUAUUGCUAUUCUAAACUGGUUAUCAACAUAAUUAGAGCAGUAAAAAUAAAUGUUUUGUCAUACCCGUAGUAUACGGUCUGGUAUACCACUGCUGUCAGCCAAUCAGCAUUCAGGGCUCUAACCACCCAGUUUAUAUCAGCAUAUAGCUCAUGGAAGUCUCACUGGUAUACUGUUCAUGGUGCUGCACAUGAUUACGACGACAGGGGAAUUGAUUACUUUGGAGUCAUUUGAGGCUAAAGCAGCUGUGCUGGAGGCUUCUUAUUCUGGAUUUAUCUCCUUGUGUACAUGUGUCCAUAACACAUUUGGGAAAAGAGAAAACACAUGAGAAAACCACUGUAGAUGAUCACUUGAGAACCAAUUGAUGACUUUUUAUGCUAUUUACUACUGUAUGAGAUACUGUUCCUAAUCUUUGAUGCUCCUAACUUGUUCUGGGUCACUUUGUGUACAUACAGUACACCCUUAAACACAGUAAGAAGGAUCACAGCUGCUUUAGAGAGUCAUUCUUGUAUAUAACCCGACAUGCCCUGUAUUACUUGUCCUAUCACUGAUCUAUUUAUGAUUAAAGUAUUUUCUAUU